UACGUAGGGGGCAAGCGUUGUCCGGAUUCAUUGGGCGUAAAGAGCGUGUAGGCGGCCUGGUAGGUCUGCUGUGAAAACUCGAGGCUCAACCUCGAGAUGUCGGCGGAAACCAUCUGGCUAGAGUCCGGAAGAGGAGAGUGGAAUUCCUGGUGUAGCGGUGAAAUGCGCAGAUAUCAGGAAGAACACCUAUGGCGAAGGCAGCUCUCUGGGACGGUACUGACGCUGAGACGCGAAAGCGUGGGGAGCGAACAGG
rnacentral:rRNA from 1 species